rnacentral:rRNA from 1 species
UGAGGAAUAUUGGUCAAUGGGCGAGAGCCUGAACCAGCCAAAUCGCGUGAAGGAAGACUGCCUUAUGGGUUGUAAACUUCUUUUAUACAGGAAUAAAAAACGGGGACGUGUCCCUUAUUGCAUGUACUGUAUGAAUAAGCAUCGGCUAACUCCGUGCCAGCAGCCGCGGUAAUACGGAGGAUGCGAGCGUUAUCCGGAUUUAUUGGGUUUAAAGGGUGCGCAGGCGGGCUUUUAAGUCAGCGGUGAAAUCUCGGGGCUUAACUCCGAAACUGCCGUUGAAACUGGGAGUCUUGAGUAUGGAUGAAGUAGGCGGAAUUCGUUGUGUAGCGGUGACAUGCUUAGAUAUAACGAGGAACUCCGAUUGCGUAGGCAGCUUACUAAGCCAUAACUGACGCUCAAGCACGAAAGCGUGGGGAUCAAACAGGAUUAGAUACCCUGGUAGUCCACGCCGUAAACGAUGAUUACUAGUUGUAUGCGAUAUACCGUAUGUGACUAAGCGAAAGCGAUAAGUAAUCCACCUGGGGAGUACGCCGGCAACGGUGAAACUUAAAUGAAUUGACGGGGUCAUAGCUG